AGCGCAGUAGCUCAGUGGUAGAGCCUCCGCUUCGUGUGCGGGAAGAACUGGAUUCGAUUCCCGGCUGCUUCC
rnacentral:tRNA from 1 species